GAUGAACGCUGGCGGCGUGCCUAAUACAUGCCAGUCGAGCGAACGGACGAGAAGCUUGCUUUUCUGAUGUUAGCGGCGGACGGGUGAGUAACACGUGGAUAACCUACCUAUAAUACUGGGAUAACUUCGGGAAACCGGAGCUAAUACCGGAUAAUAUUUUGAACCGCAUGGUUCAAAAGUGAAAGACGGUCUUUCUGUCACUUAUAGAUGGAUCCGCGCUGCAUUAGCUAGUUGGUAAGGUAACGGCUUACCAAGGCAACGAUGCAUAGCCGACCUGAGAGGGAGAAAGGACAAAAUGGAAAUGAGAAAAGGGAAAGAAUAAUAAGGGAGGCAGCAGUAGGGAAACAUCAGAAAUGGGCGAAAGACAGAAGGAGCAAAGACGAGUGAGUGAUGAAGGAAGUAGGAUCGUAAAAAUCUGUUAUUAGGGAAGAAAAUAAGUGUAAGUAAAAGUGAAAAUCAUGAAGGUAAAUAAACAGAAAGCCACGGCUAAAUACGUGC
rnacentral:rRNA from 1 species